UCGGGAAUUUUGGGCAAUGGGGGAAACCCUGACCCAGCAACGCCGCGUGAAGGAUGAAGUAUUUCGGUAUGUAAACUUCGAAAGAAUAGGAAGAAUAAAUGACGGUACUAUUUAUAAGGUCCGGCUAACUACGUGCCAGCAGCCGCGGUAAUACGUAGGGACCAAGCGUUGUUCGGAUUUACUGGGCGUAAAGGGCGCGUAGGCGGCAUGACAAGUCACUUGUGAAAUCUCUGGGCUUAACCCAGAACGGCCAAGUGAUACUGUCGCGCUAGAGUGCAGAAGGGGCAAUCGGAAUUCUUGGUGUAGCGGUGAAAUGCGUAGAUAUCAAGAGGAACACCUGAGGUGAAGACGGGUUGCUGGGCUGACACUGACGCUGAGGCGCGAAAGCCAGGGGAGCAAACGGGAUUAGAUACCCUUGUAGUCCCUGAGCGGGCUGGCAAGGCGC
rnacentral:rRNA from 1 species